GUGGAUGGCCGAGUGGUUUAAGGCGUUGGACUUCGAAAUCCAAUGGGGUAUCCCGCGCAGGUUCAAACCCUGCUCACG